UAGUCCGGUGGUUAGCACGUCGGCUUCACAGUGCAGAGGUACCGGGUUCGAUUCCAGCUCCGGCCUCCCUGUGUGGAGUUUGCAUGUUCUCCCCGGGCCUGCGUGGGUUUUCUCCGGGUGCUCCGGUUUCCUCCCACAUUCCAAAAACAUGCGUGGCAGGCUGAUUGAACACUCUAAAUUGUCCCUAGGUGUGAAUGUGAGCGUGGGUGGUUGUUCGUCUCUGUGUGCCCUGCGAUUGGCUGGCAACUGAUUCAGGGUGUCCCCCGCCUACUGCCCGAAGAAGGCUGGGAUAGGCUCCAGCGCCCCCCGUGACCCUAGUGAGGAUUAAGCGGUUCGGAAAAUGGAUGGAAUGGAUUCUCCUAACUGAACUUUUUUUUUCCCUCACAUGUAUGCCAUGAGUGAGCAUGUGCGUUAGCGCAGCGCGGGAAUGGAAUGUACAAAUACGCUUUUGAAGGAGAAACAGUAUUAGCUUGUUAAGAGUUGCAUCACAUUUAUUUUAUUGUAUACGAUUGAUACUUUUCUUUCUGAAGUUUUGAGUCAUUGUAAUAAAAAAAGGGGGGGGUGGGAGAGAGGGGGCAAGUAUACGCUUUGAUAUCGUGUCAUGAUUUCUAAAUAGGAAAUAAAGAACAUACAUCGGCUAGCGCAGAUGCUAUAAAAAUAAGUGAUUCGUCCUAAAAAUAAAAUAAAAACAGCUUAUUUGCCAAUGUAAAACGGAGGUCUCUUCUCUAUGAAGGCCACCAUUCCCUCCUGUCUGUCCCGUGUCGGGAUGACCUGAAAUAAGUCGACACACCCGCCAUCUUUAUUAGGUACACCUACGCAAGCAAACGAGAGCCAACACAAGAGCUCAACUCCGCACACAAGUGGAGUCAUCGUUUACCUGAGCGUAGCACAUCCUCUCGAUGGCCAUCGCUGAGGUGAUGUCAACCUAGCCAAGAGUCAAAUGUCAGUCACGGCACCAAAUUGGUAUAAAAUGGCAACAAUACGAAACAACUUGGUUACCUCCAGGCCUCUGUUCAUCGCCUCUUUGGCCAUCCGCACAGCGACGGGAGCCUGAAGGACGGUUUGAUAAGUUGACUCAAGUCAAACAAAAUGAUUCAAUCUCAUUCUCAUCACAAAAGGAGCUAAUUCUGUACAUGGAAACAAUAAAAACUUGGAUUCAUGAAAAAAAACACACAAUUUGCAUCUCUGUUCACUUGAGGAGCGGACAUAGCGUCAAGCAGGAAUUGCCAGAAUCAACGUUAGUUGACAAAAAGUUGAAAUGUAGUCAAAUGAAAGAAUGUGGCAAAAAAUGUCCAUCAAAAGUCAAACGCAUUGAAUUUUACACCUAUCUUGACAAUAGAAUUUCAAACUGAAUAUUUUGUGGACAAAAUAUCCCUCAAAAGUCAAGGAAUGUAAACUUCAACAUUUUCGAAAUCAAAGCAACUGGAAUUUUCAUCUAUAAUUUUCUAAAGUACAUUCAUACGAAUUUUAAACAAAUGAUUCAUGAAGAAAUAUCCUUAAAAAUAUAUUUCAAAAGGCAAAUAAUUUCAAUUUAGAAAUUAAGCAAAAAUUCAAACAAACCAUUUGAAUUUUCAACCAAAAUUCUGGAAAAAUAUUCAACUGAAAACCAAACUUUGAAAUUGACUUUCUUGAAAUCAAAAGUAACCAUGUGUCGCCUCCUUGUGGCAUCUACAGGCAACUACAAACCAUUUUGUAAGGACAUCAAUUACUCUUUUUCUGUGGCAAGACACGGUCUCUAUCUCUUGGAUAGUUGUGAAUGACUAAUUGAAUUGAAAAUAUUGUUUAUUCUGUAAAAUAUUUGUAUUUUCUACAUAUUUUAACUGGAUUCACAGUACGGCAUAUUAUAGUACACUCGUAUGUUUGCAACGGUUGGCCCAUUUCUCCACUCCGCUGCCACCGUGACCCUGCCGACUGCAGGCGUCUGAGCUGGAGUAGAAGAAAUACGGAACGACAGAAGCCCGCAGAGCAAGAUUGCGAGGAGUGGAAAAAAUGGCUAAAUUGAAGGAGGAUUUAAUGGUCUGAGAAGGAGAAGGUGGAGGCAGACCUGGGGCAGGAUCUCUCUGGCCAGGGCGAGCGCUUCCGCGUACGCCGCCUCUCCCGUCUGGUCCUGCUCAAUGGCUCUGUUCACCAGGCCCAUCUCGGCGGCCGCCUGCCCCCCCACGCACCUUCCUGCCAGGAAAAAUAAAUGAAUGAAUAAAUAUAGAU